GACGAACGCUGGCGGCAGGCCUAACACAUGCAAGUCGAACGCCGUAGCAAUACGGAGUGGCAGACGGGUGAGUAACGCGUGGGAACAUACCCUCCGGUUCGGAAUAACUCAGGGAAACUUGAGCUAAUACCGGAUACGUCCAAGGUUUUAAUCGGCCUCGGAGAAAGAUUUAUCGCUGGAGGAUUGGCCCGCGUCUGAUCAGCUUGUUGGUGAGGUAAUGGCUCACCAAGGCGACGANCAGUAGCUGGUCUGAGAGGAUGAUCAGCCACAUUGGGACUGAGACACGGCCCAAACUCCUACGGGAGGCAGCAGUGGGGAAUAUUGGACAAUGGCGAAAGCCUGAUCCAGCCAUGCCGCGUGAGUGAUGAAGGCCUUAGGGUUGUAAAGCUCUUUCGGUGGGAACGAAACGGUCACGGCUAAUACCUGUGACUAAUGCGGUACUCACACAAGAAGCACCGGCUAACUACGUGCCAGCCGCCGCCGUAAC
rnacentral:rRNA from 1 species